AUUGAACGCUGGCGGCAGGCCUAACACAUGCAAGUCGAACGAGUGGCGGACGGGUGAGUAAUGUCUGGGAACCUGCCUGAUGGAGGGGGAUAACUACUGUAAACGGUAGCUAAUCCCGCAUACCAUCAGAUGUGCCCAGAUGGGAGUAGCGUGUGGGUGGGGUAACGGCUCCCCAAGGCGACGAUCCCUAGCUGGUCUGAGAGGAUGAUCAGCCACACUGGAAAUGAGACACGGCCCAGACUCCGACGGGAGGCAGCAGUGGGGAAUAUUGCACAAUGGGCGCAAGCCUGAUGCAGCCAUGCCGCGUGUAUGAAGAAGGCCUUCGGGUUGUAAAGUACUUUCAGCGGGGAGGCGUUACCCGCAGAAGAAGCACCGGCUAACUCCGUGCCAGCAGCCGCGGUAAUUC
rnacentral:rRNA from 1 species